GGAUUUGGCUCUGUCACACCAUUCACUGCCUGCCCUUCUUCCCAGCGCUUCCAAGAUCUGGUUGUAUUAAACACGAGAAUGAAGAGAGGAAAACACCUUCGCCCACGGUGUGCUCUGGGGACAUCUCCAGGUGUGGGUGGUGGCGUCAGCCACAGGACAGGUAAUGGGAUCUCCAUUAAAAACUGAACAGUGAGGUUCAGAGAGCUUCUGAGUUGCUGAAUACGUUGAGGUCCUGGGAGGGUGGCAUUCCAGAGAGAGCGUGGAAGCUCCACACCGCCCCCUAGUACCUUGUCCUUUACAUCUCUUCCAUUUGCCUGUUUCUAACUUGUAUCCAUUCCAAUAAACCAGUAAUAGUAAGUAAAAUA
rnacentral:lncRNA from 1 species